CUCUGCUUUCUUACUUAAAUGGUGUUUUCUAAGAUCAAGGAGAGGACAGAUCAAGCCGCAAUUCCAUUUCAGGAUCUCUGUGGUUCUCACUUGCGUGUCUAGUUACAGAUACUGGUGGUUACAGCAAGGCUUGCUGCUGCAACAGUUACAAAUAAGAUCAUUAGGAGAGCGAGAGGACUGAUAGGGAUAACUGGUUUGCUGGGAGAGAGGAUGACGAGAAAGACUUCAGAGCUGCAAAGCUGACCAGAAACAUGUUGACAUCAGUGGCAAACUUGAAAGCAGGAAAAGCAAGCAGAGCUAAACCAAGUGAGAAGCAGCGGAGAGAUCAUGCUGUCCAGGAUGGCAAAAGACAGCUGGCUAUCUGUGUCUAAUCCUGCAGACACUGAUUUUCACAGAAGGAUGCUUAUGCCAGUUCCUUUAGGAGAAACAUUUAUAACAGCUUUCUGCAGGAAUAGCAUGCAGACUUGCAGCAAAUCCUGCGCAGGCAUCCAAGGCAGACUCUGCUCCUGUGCCUUUUUUGGGAAAAAUAUCCCUUUGUCAGAAGAUGCUUCAUCUCAUCAUUAGCAGCUGAAGCACGUGGCACAUGCAAGCGGGUACACAUCCUUCAGUUGUCCUGAUACUUGCUAGGAAAGCAACAUGGUGUUUCACAAGCAGCUCAGGAGUGCGAGAAGGUUGUCAGAGGUGGCCUUUGCAAGACACUGGAGGGGUCCACACCCUUAAUCAGAAGAAAAGAACAGUUGUAGCAAGAAAACAACCUCCUCAACUGUGAGCUAGUGGGAGAGCUUCCAUGCAGAAGAGGAGUAUGAGGAAUAUACCAAAGACAAGGUUCAUGCAAAUAAAUACAGAAAUACCACAUAGAUGUGGUUAGGAAUGUGAAAGAUCAGCUGAAGCUUGAUCUAGCAAAAGAUAUCAAACAUAGCAAGAAAGACUCCUGUGCGUAUAUGGCAAGAAGUACAAGGAAGCUAUAGGUCUGCUGCUGUAUGGGACUGGAAAGUUAAUUUAAAAUGCUCACAGUAAAAAAAAAAGAAAAAAAAAAAAUACUCAGUGUCAGUGCCUUCCUUGCUGCAGUUCUCCUGAGUGAGACCAGCGCCCAGCUAUGCUGAGCAUUUAUGACAAAAACAGAACUACCAAUAGAGGACAAGGAUGGAAUUAG
ensembl:lncRNA